UACAGAGGUCUCGAGCGUUAGGCGGAAUCACUGGGCUUAAAGCGUGUGUAGGCGGAUCGGUAAGUACCUUGUGAAAUCCCACAGCUUAACUGUGGAACUGCUUGGUAUACUGCCAGUCUUGAGCCAGCUAGGGGCUACCGGAACAAAUGGUGGAGCGGUGAAAUGCGUAGAUAUCAUUUGGAACGCCAUGGUGAAAACAGGUAGCUGGGGCUGUGCUGACGCUGAGACACGAAAGCCAGGGGAGCAAACGGG
rnacentral:rRNA from 1 species